UCUUCCAGAAAAUUAAAAUCUCUAAUAGGCAAGAGGAAGUCAUGGCCUAGAACCCAGGACUCUCUCUUUUCAGGGGUCACUACAAAUCUUCCUUAAGAGUUCCUUUCCUCAAGGGAGUCCUGGUUCCCGUGGGGUGCAAGCAGCAGGAGGCUGGCUUUGGCUGGGACUUUGAGCUGGACUCAGGCUGGUCCCAUCAGGUGGAUGAAAAAUCUAGUUUGGUGGAUGUGGCCACAAAGAGGUGUAGAGGUUCAGACUGCACAGAGCCAGCCUGGGUCAGCAAAGGGUAUAGAAGCCCAGGUUCAUUGCACCCUAUUCCUGAGGAGCCAGCUACGUUCAUGCUGUCAAGACUGUGAUGGACCCUGGCUGCUAUCAUAGGCACUGAGAAGGGCUUCCAGAACCAAGGAAAAGGGAGUACGCGCCCUCUCUUCAGGGUGCCAUUCUCUAUUUCUCUGGCAUGAAAAUGGAGAAGGGGCCACAGUGAGAAAGAAGUCUUGAAGUAGAGGGCAGCAGAGACCUUAUAACAUCAUGAAUCCAGCUGGCAAGAUGGCUCAGAGGUUAAGAGCACUGACUGCUCUUCCGAAGGUCCUGACUUCAAACCCCAGCAACCACAUGGUGGCUCACAACCACCUGUAAUGAGAUCUGAUGCCCUCUUCUGGCCCAGUUCCACUAGGGGACACCGCCCAGCCUACCUGUGGGGUAGGUGGCUCUACUUUCCGUUUCUUCUUCUGGUUCUGCUUGUUGGUUCGAGGAUACACCAUGAGCAUCUCUAACCACCUGCGAAGACAGGAUGAGAAACAGUAUCAGGAAGCCUGGAUCUUAGAACUGCUCCAUGUCAGCUGAUAUUUCAGUCAGAUACUUGAGGCUGUGUGUGUGAAGGGAGUGAUUCCUACAACUUCACCAGAAUCCUAAAUCAAGAUUAUCUCCCCACAAGGACCUCAGAAACAAGUGUUCUUCAUUCACCCCAUGGACAAGACACAUCUUAUCUCUGAGACAGAAAACUAACGCUAUGAGGAUUGUGAGAAUUGAGUGACAGAAGCUGUGCAGACAGCCAGUAGUGACCAGAUGAAAGGAACUGCAAAGGAUGCCUCCUCUUCUCUACUGCUGGAACUCCAUCCCAGUCCUUGGGAUUAAAACACUGACAACAAUGGC
ensembl:processed_transcript 1700007J10Rik uncharacterized LOC110306318